AGGUGGCAAGCGUUGUCCGGAUUUAUUGGGCGUAAAGCGAGCGCAGGCGGAAAGAUAAGUCUGAUGUGAAAGCCCCCGGCUUAACCGAGGAAUUGCAUCGGAAACUGUGUUUCUUGAGUGCAGAAGAGGAGAGUGGAACUCCAUGUGUAGCGGUGGAAUGCGUAGAUAUAUGGAAGAACACCAGUGGCGAAGGCUGCUCUCUGGUCUGUAGCUGACGCUGAGGCUCGAAAGCAUGGGGAGCGA
rnacentral:rRNA from 1 species